rnacentral:rRNA from 1 species
ACGGGAGGCAGCAGUGGGGAAUAUUGGACAAUGGGGGAAACCCUGACGGAGCGACGCCGCGUGGAUGAUGAAGGCCGGAAGGUUGUAAAAUCCUUUUAUGACUGAGGAAUAAGUAUUCUGAGAGAAACGGAGUAUGGUGACUGUAGGUCAUGAAUAAGCAACGGCUAAUUACGUGCCAGCAGCCGCGGUAACACGUAAGUUGCGAGCGUUGUUCGGAAUUAUUGGGCGUAAAGGGCAUGUAGGCGGUCUUGCAAGCUUGGUGUGAAAGGCAGGAGCUUAACUCCUGGACUGCGUUGAGAACUGCAAGACUUGAGUCACUGAGGGGCAAUCAGAAUUCCUGGUGUAGGGGUGAAAUCUGUAGAUAUCAGGAAGAAUACCAAUGGCGAAGGCAGGUUACCAGCAGAUGACUGACGCUGAGGUGCGAAGGUGCGGGGAGCAAACAGGAUUAGAUACCCUGGUA